CAGCCGCCGCGGGAAUACGAAGGGGGCUAGCGUUGCUCGGAAUGACUGGGCGUAAAGGGCGCGUAGGCGGUUCGUACAGUCGGAUGUGAAAUUCCUGGGCUUAACCUGGGGACUGCAUUCGAUACGUGCGGGCUUGAGUGUGGAAGAGGGUUGUGGAAUUCCCAGUGUAGAGGUGAAAUUCGUAGAUAUCGGAAGGAACGCCUGUGGCGAAAGCGGCUCACUGGACAAUAACUGACGCUGAUGCACGAAAGCUAGGGGAGCAAGCAGGAUUAGAUACCCGCGUAGUCCCUGUCUCUUAUAA
rnacentral:rRNA from 1 species